rnacentral:rRNA from 1 species
UACGUAGGGGGCGAGCGUUGUCCGAAGUUACUGGGCGUAAAGCGCGCGUAGGCGGUCAUUUAAGUUCGGGGUGAAAGGUUCAGCGCUCAACGCGAACAGUGCCUUGAAUACUGGGUGACUUGAGUUCGGGAGAGGGCAGUGGAAUUCCUGGUGUAGCGGUGAAAUGCGUAGAUAUCUGGAGGAACACCGGUGGCGAAGGCGGCAUCCUGGACCGACACUGACGCUGAGGAGCGAAAGCCAGGGGAGCAAACGGG